rnacentral:rRNA from 1 species
GACGAACGCUGGCGGCGUGCUUAACACAUGCAAGUCGAACGGAGUGGCGAACGGGUGAGUAACACGUGGGUGAUCUGCCCUGCACUUAGGGAUAAGCUUGGGACACUGGGUCCAAUACCGGAUGGUGCAAGAGGAGAUCGCGGCCGAUCAGCUUGUUGGUGGGGUAAUGGCCUACCAAGGCGUCGACGGGUAGCCGGCAGGAGAGGGUGGACGGCCACAUUGGGACUGAGAUACGGCCCAGACACCUACGGGAGGCAGCAGUGGGGAAUAUUGCACAAUGGGCGGAAGCCUGAUGCAGCGACGCCGCGUGGGGGAUGAAGGCCUUCGAGUUGGAAACUCCUUUCGACAGGGACGCGGUACCUGUAUAAGAAGCACCGGCUAACUACGUGCCAGCCGCCGCGGUAAUAC